GAAACAUCUAAGUACCCGGAGGAGAAGAAAACAAAAGUGAUUCCGAUAGUAGCGGCGAGCGAAAUCGGAUUAGCCCAAACCAGUAUUGUUACGGCAAUUCUGGGGUUGUAGGACUGCGUCGUUGGUCGUGUAAUGAACUAGAACGCUUUGGAAAGAGCGGCCAUAGAGGGUGAUAGCCCCGUAAAGGUAAAGAUCAUUGACCAUAGCAGUAUCCUGAGUAGUGCGGGGCACG
rnacentral:rRNA from 1 species